UGGGGAAUAUUGGACAAUGGGCGCAAGCCUGAUCCAGCCAUGCCGCGUGAGUGAAGAAGGCCUUAGGGUUGUAAAGCUCUUUCGGCGGGGAAGAUUAUGACGGUACCCGCGGAAGAAGCCCCGGCUAACUCCGUGCCAGCAGCCGCGGUAAUACGGAGGGGGCUAGCGUUGUUCGGAAUUACUGGGCGUAAAGCGCACGCAGGCGGUGCGGUCAGUUGGGUGUGAAAUCCCAGGGCUCAACCCUGGAACUGCAUUCAAUACUGCCGCGCUGGAGGACGGAAGAGGAGAGUGGAAUUCCCAGUGUAGAGGUGAAAUUCGUAGAUAUUGGGAAGAACACCGGUGGCGAAGGCGGCUCUCUGGUCCGUUUCUGACGCUCAUGUGCGAAAGCGUGGGGAGCAAACAGGAUUAGAUACCCCCGUAGUCC
rnacentral:rRNA from 1 species